UUCAUAAUUUAGUAUCUCAGGACACAAUGUCUAUAUUUGUGUCCAACAUAAUUUUGUAUGUAUCCUUAUUUCCAUGUCUCAUGCUUGUAAAAUUUUUCGGGCAAUACAGUUUCUUCUAAAACAUUGGUGGUCGUUCCCCUAUAAGAAAAUACUUAAAAUUUGAGCUACAAAGACUACUUUAAUCUGAAACUCAGCAUUUCUUUCUUUUUAUAUAUAAAAGAUAAAGAGAGAAGCAUGCAACUAGUUUGGUCUCAGCGUUUCCUUUUUAUCAUUGGGAUUGCACGGGGCGUUCUCUAUCUCCAUCAAGAUUCAAGACAUAGAAUAGUUCAUAGAGAUCUCAAGGCUAGCAAUAUUCUGCUAGAUGAUGAAAUGAAUGCCAAAAUCUCUGAUUUUGGACUAGCCAGAAGCUUUAUUGGAAAUGAAAAUGAAGCAAACACAACAACAAUUGUUGGAACUUAGUAAGUACUUGAUUACUUAACAUGUUAAUAUAUAUAAUUAACAUAAACCUUGUGCUGAAGCUGUUUACUUGUAUCAUUGUAUGUUGAUGUUUGUAGUGGUUAUGUAUCACCAGAGUACCUAAUUGAUGGAAUUUUCUCAACGAAGUCUGAUGUUUAUAGCUUUGGUGUGCUUGUAUUAGAGAUAGUAAGUGGAAAAAGAAAUAGAGGGUUCAGCAACAGAAAUCAUCGCUUUAAUCUUCUGGGGCAUGUAUGGAAACUCUUUAUAGAAGAUAAUUGCUCUGAAAUAGUUGAUCCGUCCAUCAGAAAUUCGUCCGAUUUAUCCAGAGUCAUAAGAGCAAUUCAUGUGGGUCUACUUUGCGUUCAACAGAAUCCAGAAGACAGGCCAAGCAUGUUGCAUGUUCUUAUGAUGCUGAGUAGCGAAUGCACAUUGCUUCAACCAAAAAUGCCAGGGUUCUUCACUGAGAGAGAUCUUGUUGGUGACACUUCAUCAAGCAAGAGUGAACUAGUGUCAUUUAAUGAAAUCUCAGUUAGUGUGGUGCAUCCACGGUAGAUGUUGUUUCUUAAAUAAUUGAUUAGCUAAAUUCAGCACAUGACAGUAGCAUACAGUCCUUUUACAAGAGUAGAGAAAAUUUAUACUGUCAUGUUUAGGGAUUUUGUUAAUUGAUUACAUGUUCUUUAUAUGCUAUUUUAUGGUUAUGGUGCAUGGGAAUAUGUUCUUUCUUGUUUACGUCCUCUGAUCAAAAUAUGCAGUGGAAUGGAGUUGUGCUUGCAACAUUCUUCUUUCUUAUUUAUUUUAUGAAUAAUUAUAUAUCUAAUAUAUAUUAUUAUGCAAGAAUCUUUUUUGAACUU